GGUUGAUUAAACCAGCAGCAAUAGCAGCAACAGUUGAUUUGGCCUGCCCAAUAUUCCAGUCACGGAACAGAAAUUGACGGCUGAGAUUACUUUUCUCAAUGACAUCAUCAUCUGUUACAACUAGCUUCCCUGUGUGGCUACUAGAAACUCCCAUCAAGGCUAGGUUCUUCAAGAACUCGCAUCCAAGAGCACCAGAGCCUACCAUGAAAACUUUUGCCUCAGCCAGCUUUUUUUGAAGGUUGGAACCAAAUACAGAUAUUUGAGCAUCAUAACGGCAGUUCAAUGGUCUUAUAUCAUCAGGCUCCAAAGGUUCCGCCGGAAGGGACUCCACUGAGUCAAAGUAGAAGAACUGGAAAAGAGGGUGAAACUUUCCAGAGCAGGCUUUCACCACCUCCUGACCAACAAUGCCACCAAACAUGGCAGCCAUUGGAUUCAAAACAGCCCCAGAUCCAUUAGCAAAAUGGCGUAGAAGUUUCUGAUCUACCUCUUCAAGUUUCUCAUCGCCCAUGUUCUCAUUAAUAGUGAGCGCAAAGGUAAUCAACCUCUGAACAUCUUCUUCAGAUCCAGCAACAGGGAAACGCCCCAUAUCUUGUUUAAA
rnacentral:misc_RNA from 1 species